GUGGGGAAUAUUGGGCAAUGGGCGCAAGCCUGACCCAGCAACGCCGCGUGAAGGAAGAAGGCCCUCGGGUUGUAAACUUCUUUUAUCAAGGACGAACACAAUGACGGUACUUGAUGAAUAAGCCACGGCUAACUACGUGCCAGCAGCCGCGGUAAUACGUAGGUGGCAAGCGUUAUCCGGAUUUACUGGGUGUAAAGGGCGUGUAGGCGGGACUGCAAGUCAGAUGUGAAAACUCGGAGCUCAACUCCGAGCCUGCAUUUGAAACUGUAGUUCUUGAGUGAUGGAGAGGCAGGCGGAAUUCCGUGUGUAGCGGUGAAAUGCGUAGAUAUACGGAGGAACACCAGUGGCGAAGGCGGCCUGCUGGACAUUAACUGACGCUGAGGCGCGAAAGCGUGGGGAGCAAACAGGAUUAGAAACCCUAGUAGUCC
rnacentral:rRNA from 1 species